UUCCGACCCCUCAGUGCUCGUCUGGACCAUGGACAGUAUAUAAGGUCUGGACGGUGGAUUGACAGCACGCACCGAUUGAGCUCCGCUGAACAUUACGCUAAACGGUAAAAUGCGCAAACAAAUAUUUUUUCCAAGGGACCUCUGGGGUAUCUUUGUCGGGAUCCUACUAAUUCUGCAAAAGUCAUUAAAGACGACCCAUCUCUCCAGGACAAGUCUGCACCUGUAAGGGAGGAGCUGGUCAGGCAAAAUGCACUCAGUGUCAUCCAUCAGAGAGGUGGGGAUGCCUCAGAUAAAUCUGAGGUGGCUGGAGAAUACAUCCUGCAGUUUGGGAAAUACAAGGGGAAGUCCUUCCGCUGGCUUCUUGAAAAUGAUGUAGGGUAUAGGGUAUAUACCAUCUACCUAAUCAGGAACAAGGUGAAGGAGGAGGCUGCAGGAGUGUUUAUAGCAGAGGGCCACAGCAAGGACAGCCUACUGUCAUUUGUGAACUAUGCCCUUAGCUUUCAAGAAAUCCAGUCUCUUCUUGACUAUGAGGCAAGGUCACAGGUUGUGACAGUAGCAGCAUCAGAGGAUGACCAGCUGGUUGGGUUUGGCUCUCGUGCCAACAACACUUGGCUCGAGAUUUGAGACAAUAGGGAUGAUGGCUAUGCAGCCUUUAUACUGAAAAAAAGCUGUGCUUCAGGGACAAGGAUGCACAAGUUACAGCAAUACCUGCAGAAGAAGCUGCCCUCACCAGCCUCUGGCUCUUCUCUGAUGACACCUACGUCAAAUGCUCCUGCUGAAGCCAUGGUGAUGGAUGAAGAUGAAGAGCUGGAGUAAUGCUGAGCAUUUCUCCUACCAUGCAACGUGAGAAAAGCUCUGUUUCUGCACCAGCAUCAUCAACUGCCAGACCACCACAGGCUUCUGGAACAGAUAGAGCACCAUCAGCUACACGGUCUAGAACAACUAAAUUGAAGAUCUCACAAGAAGAUGCCCUGCCAACUGUAAGGAGACCUGUGCCCCUUCCUCAGGAGCUGAGGUUUCUGAUGCCAAAAACAGCAGGUCCUCAGCCAACAGAGACAACUGUAACAGUUCCAGUGUCAGAGGCACUUGUGAUUACUCCCGAUACGUCUGCAGAGCCCAGUCAACCGGCGCUGCAGCCACCAAUUGGACAGAGAGCUCAAAGUCAGCCGGUAACCAGGCCAUCAAGGGUCCCCAGCAUUCCUCCUCCACAGCUUCCUGGCUAUGACCAUGAUGGAACUGUUCUCACCAGCAGAGGAUCUGGAUGAAGACAGAGCUGGAAUCGAUGGGUCUCUGGCCGGGCUCCAUUCCUGUGCGCAACCCCAUGAAGAUGGUGUCAUUGUUUCCCUCCCCAGCCAGAAUUAAUUGACAGCAUCUCUGAUCUUCCAUCCCCAAAGUACUUUCAGCUCCAUCCCUUUUUUUAUAUGGAAGCCAGAGAAUGACUUAAUGGCAAGGCUGUGGAACAGCGACACUCUGCCAUGCAUUGAAGGUUGCGCUCAGGCCCAAGUUGCCUCUGCAGGUGUUGGUAGACCUUGUGUGAUUGUUGGCAUCACUGGACAGUACUACCUUUUUUCAUCCAGACUGUGCUGUAAAGUUUGCCGGAAAAGGUGGUAUGCUGACAAUCCACUGUGGCUGGAAAAACUACCAAAGAGGUUCACAAACCUGUUGCCGGCAAUACUGACCUACAAGAAGGCCAUCUGUAAAUCCGUAAUGGACGAGCUCAGGCGCAAAUAUGAACGUGCUCACCUGGCCUUCCUCCUUACCUCAUCAUGGAUGGUGAGGCAGGAAAGUAUGACCUAAGAACCAUCACUCAGUUCAUAAGACAGGAAACCAAGCCAGCUCUCUUUGGAGAGUAUGGGGAUUCAGAUGGCUGGAACGGGAUCUCUGUGUCUGCACACUACCUAACUGACUGCCUACUGCAAUAGUACAAACACCAGGAGGGUGCUAUCACAAAGCUUCUUCAGGGCACCUUUGGACAGGCUUUCCGCUCAGACCACACAUGGAAAGUUGCUAGGAAGGUCACCUUUUCAUCUGGGACCAUGUCAUCAUAUGCAGUCAUGAAUGAGAACUGGAUGAUCCUUUCAUGGGUGAUGGUGCAGUCUGAGACAGAAAAGUCACUGAAGCCCAUGUAUGAAGGUAUAGCACACCGCUACAACACUGCAGGCAUAGAGAAGGCCCACUACCAGUGGGUAGACAGGGAUUGCUGCGCAGCAUUUAAGGUUGUUUAGUGUGUAUAUACUGUAUAUUUUGCCCAUUUCAUAUUUAUUUUACAUAUUUUAUUUUGUGUAUGUGUGACCUUGCACUAUGGGCCUUGGUGUGUUUAAACUUUCAUUGUUGUAUUUAAUAAACAAGACAUUACAUUAACCAAUA